CCUCAUCUCAAUCUACCAAGGGGGGAUUAUCCCUCUUUUACAGAUGAGGAGACUGAGGCCCAGCAAGGCAAAAUUGUCUGUCCCAGUUUAUCCCUUUGAUAAGAGCCGCAUUUGAAUCCAGGUCUCUCUGGCCCCAAGUUGCCUAUGGCAACCAAAGCCUUCCACGUCUACCUCCAGUCACUCAGUGGUGGCCUUCCACCAAAUCUUGGUUCAUCGGUCAUGUCCAACACACCGGUAUGUGCUUCCGUGCUUAGAAAGGGAAGCCAGGCAAGAUAAGCCUCCCUGGUAUGCCUGUGGUCCCGUUUCCUGGUUCUCAUCCUGCCGUCUUUCAAGGUGAGCCUUCCAGGUAAGGGGCUGGGCCUGGUAUCCGCAGCAUGCAGCUGGGAGCUGAUUUUCAAAGAACCCGGUGCAGCAGGAAGACCGAGGAGACAGCCGCCUCCCCUGCUCGACUCCUGCUGACUGUGGAACUGAGCUGGAGCCGCGUAGCCAUGCACCGCCAUCUCUUCGCCCACGUGCCCCCCUGGGACGCCCUUAUCCGUGGACACUGCUUGACAAGGAAGGCGGAGGGGCCUCAGCCCAUCACUUGCACGGUACUGGGCGCCCCAAGACCGUCCAGUGUGCCCUGAAGGCCACUCCCGCUCCAGUCUCUCGCCGGCUUCCCCAGGCUCCCAGCAUAAACACGAACUUGACUCCAGUCCUGUCUCCUGCCUGGUCACCUGACCUCUCUGCC
rnacentral:lncRNA from 10 species